GUUUGACUAGCCUCAUGUGCUCCUGCUUUGAGAAGAGAGAGGUGGAGACGCACUGGAACCAGCAGACCACCCAAAGUAUUUCCAAAGAAAUGUCAAAUAUGCAAAUAAUAUUAUGUAUACGCGUAUGGUAUUGUGUGGAAAUGUUCUUGAAAAGAAGAGCUGAUAUAUGUAUAGAACAAUGUUACAGAUCUACUAUGCUGAAGUGGGUUUAGAUGGAAUGGAAGUGUCCCUGCACACAGCCCUACCAGACUUUGCUGGCAGGGGAGCUCCACUGUUGGCAGGGAAGCCACACCAUCAAGGAGCAUUCCAAUGCACCUGCCCAAACAGUGGAUAGCCAGAUGCGACCAGUGGUAGCAUCCCUGCCACAGGUAACCAGUGGAAAGCCCCAAAAUGAUCUAUUUGGGGGUAGGUCACAAGACAGCAACAGACCAGAUCCAGGCCUCUUUGCUGCACAGCAAAUGGGCAUCUUUUCCUGCUCCUUCCUAUCUCCCACCCUGGACAGUCUAAGUGCAAGGGCUAUGGAUGUGGCUAUGGCUACACAGCUCCAUCAAGCCUUGCCACCGCUGGUGAAGGAUUAGGACUGCAGCCUUAGUUAUUUAAUUUGUUGUUGUUGUAUUUGUACUGCCAUGGAGGAGGAAUACUAUGUACCAUGACAGGUGUGUGUGUGUAAAAUAUUUCCAAAAUUCAGGACAAAGUAUUAAAAACAAACAAGAUAUUUGAAA